rnacentral:tRNA from 1 species
GGCCACUUAGCUCAGUUGGUUAGAGCGUAUGCUUAACACUCGAACACGGGGAGAUUUACGCAUAAGGUCGGCGGUUCGACCCCGCCAGAGGUCA